rnacentral:sRNA from 1 species
CCUGAAAUUGAAUGAUUGAUAGUUUUUGCCCAUGGA